rnacentral:rRNA from 1 species
UACGUAGGGAGCAAGCGUUGUCCGGAAUCAUUGGGCGUAAAGCGCGCGUAGGCGGCCCUGUAAGUCCGUUGUGAAAGUCAAAGGCUCAACCUUUGAAAGCCGAUGGAUACUGCAGGGCUAGAGUCCGGAAGAGGCGAGUGGAAUUCCUGGUGUAGCGGUGGAAGUGCGCAGAUAUCAGGAGGAACACCAAUAGCGAAGGCAGCUCGCUGGGACGGUACUGACGCGUAAGGCGCGAAAGCGUGGGGAGCAAACA